CCUGGAAUGGAGUGUCAUAGAGGGUGAGAAUCCCGUCUCUGACAUGGACUCCCAGUGCAUUGUGAUACGCUCUCAAAGAGUCGAGUUGUUUGGGAAUGCAGCUCUAAAUGGGUGGUAAAUUCCAUCUAAAGCUAAAUAUUGGCGAGAGACCGAUAGUGAACAAGUACCGUGAGGGAAAGAUGAAAAGAACUUUGGAAAGAGAGUUAAACAGUAUGUGAAAUUGUUGAAAGGGAAACGCUUGAAGUCAGUCUUGUUGACUUGGGGAUCAACCUUGCUUAUUGCUUGGUGUACUUCCUAGUUCACAGGCCAGCAUCAAUUUUGACCAGUAGAUAAAGGUCAAGGGAAUGUGGCAUCUUUGGAUGUGUUAUAGCCCUUGAUUGCAUAUAUUGGUUGGGAUUGAGGAACUCAGCAUGCCGCAAGGUCAGGUUUUUAACCAUGUUCAUGCUUAGGAUGCUGGCAUAAUGGCUUUAAUCGACCCGUCUUGAAACACGGACCAAGGAGUCUAACAUGCCUGCGAGUAUUUGGGUGGAAAACUCAUAUGCGUAAUGAAAGUGAAGAUCAGGAUCCCUGUGAUUGGGGAGCACUGAUGCCCGGACCAGACCUUUUGUGACGGAUCUGCGGUAGAGCAUGCAUGUUGGGACCCGAAAGAUGGUGAACUAUGCCUGAAUAGGGUGAAGCCAGAGGAAACUCUGGUGGAGGCUCGUAGCGAUU
rnacentral:rRNA from 1 species